rnacentral:lncRNA from 1 species
UAUGUUAUGUGUAUGCUAUGUGUUGUACUGCAUUAUUUCUAUGUGAUUUAUGCUGUGCAUGAUUACAGAGUUGGAACCGGAAGGUUCCUAGAGUUAGAACCUGAGGGUUCACAGAGUUGGGUGCACGGACCCAUAGAGUUAUAGCCUCGAGUGGCUAAUAUGUGUUUUAUGUGUGGUAUUUUGGGGAACUCACUAAGCUUCGUGCUUACAGUGUUAGUGUUGUUGUUUCAGGUACUAGCGAUGACCGUGGGAAGGCGCCGGCUUGAUCUGUACACACGCAGGGGACUUUGAUAUAUUUAUGUGAUCUUGGGAUUUGUAUGAUACAGAUUGGAAUUUGAAACUUAAUGUUUUUAUGAAAUUAAAUGAGAAAUGUUUUUUUUAUAUUGCGAAAAAUUAUUUUGAAAUUCACGGUGUUACAAGUUGGUAUCAGAGCCUUGGUUUGAGGGAUUCGAGUACACCUUCGGGCGUAUUUGAACUCAAACUGAGGAUUUGAGAUGUAUUUUCAAAAAGAGUAAAAGAUUUUUGAAAAACGCAGAGCAAGAGAUGUGUGUACGAUCAGUCAGCGCCCGAACGGUGAUUUCCCAAAAUACCUUUAUAUAUUAUGUGAUAUUGAUAUUGAUAUGAUGUAUCCGCAUGCUAGAGUAGGCUAGGUAUUGCUAUUAGGACUAGAGUGGCCUGAUUUGUGAUGCCUUAGCCUAGGGAGAGGUGAGCUGCUAUGAGAUGCUUGAGAGUGAGUAGGUAGCAGCGAGGGACUUAUGAGAGAUCUAUUAGAGAGUGGUCUAUGCAUGAUAGAGUACUUGAGACCUGGGAUCCAAAGAGAAGGACUUGGAGUGUAUUCUGGUGCGGUGCGGACAGUAGUAUUGGGCCCGUACUACUGGAAGCACCGGAGCGGUGUGCAGCCCAAGUCAGAAUCUUUGGAAUGCCAAGAAUCAAGGAGGAAAGAGUUGUCGAGUGUGAGCAUACUCGUGUGGAUUCUAAUUUAUCGUAUGUUGUAUUUCAGAGGUAGAUCAUGGUGAGGACACGUUUGAUGCCCGAGAGCAGUGGUACCAGUGAGGAGGAGAUCCGCCGGAUCAUUCAGGAGGAGGUGGCUGCGGCCAUCAGGGCAGAGAUACCGGAGAUGUUUGGGUCUAUAAAGACCACAUUGAUUGAGACGUUUGAUGAGCGUUAUGCCGCUCUUUCUGAGGCUGCUGCUGCAGCGGCUACCGCAGCGAUUGCUGCUGCGAGGCCGCAGGGUGGGGAUGCGUUGCUGUUCCGUGAGUUCAGCAACACAAAACCACCAGAGUUUGAUGGUACUCAGGAUCCGGUGGCAGCUAUGAGGUGGAUAUCUGAUAUUGAGGGGUGUUUCUUCACUUGCUCGUCUCCUGAGCAUUUGAAGGUACGGUUCGCGCUGAACCAGCUUCGCUUGGGAGCGAAGGACUGGUGGAAGUUUGUGACGGCGCAUUAUUCGCCUGCUGAGCUUUCUGCGGUGACCUGGGAGAGGUUCACCACUAUGUUUCGGGAUGAGUACGUUCCCCAGGUGGAGAGGGAGCGUUUAGCACAGGAGUUUCUGACCCUCAAGCAGGGUACUGAGUCUGUUACAGCGAUCACGAGGAUGUUCCACGAGAGGGCGAUGUUCUGCCCUGAGCACGUGUCCACUGAGCAGGCACGUAUGAGCCGCUACUUGAGCAUCUUGAGGAGGGAUAUUCGGGAGUUCGCUGCGAACUCCUCGUACCGGACAUUUGCCGAGCUUCAGGCAAAUGCCCGGAAGAGGGAGAUUGAGCUUGAGACCCAGGCCAGGGAGGAGGCAGAGUCUCAGGGGAGGGAUCGGCGACCGGCGUUGUCGCAGCCGGCCGCCAAGCGGGCCAAGCCUGCUGAUCCCAGACCAGGGAGCCAGAAGGGCCGCACUUGCGGAAAGUGCGGCAAGGGUCAUGACGGAGUCUGCCGAGCAGGGUCUUGCUACAAAUGUGGCAAGGAGGGGCACAUGGCCAAGGACUGCCCCAAGGGGUUUGCAGUGUGCUUUCACUGCAACCAGACCGGACACCGGAAGGCCGAGUGUCCGCAGUUGCGCGGAGCAUCUCAGGGGUCUGCUCCUGCCGCCACCAGAGUUACAGAGAGUCGGCCUGUGAAGGCCGAGACGCCGAGAGCUCGAGGGAGAGCCUUCCAGCUGACUGCGGAGGAGGUCCGCGCUGCGCCCGAUGUUGUGGCUGGUAUGUUUCCUUUCGUGUAUUUAUUUUGACAUAUGAUGUUAUGCUUAUAUUAUGUUAUGUGUAGGUACUUUUCUUGUGAAUUCCGUACCUGCUUUAGUGUUAUUUGACUCGGGUGCGAGUCGGUCUUUUGUAUCUUUGGCCUUUAGCCAGCAUAUCAGUGCUAGUCGUGAGGCACUGAGUCGGCCUCUGAGAGUCUCCAUAGCUGAUGAUAGAGUGAUUUGUGCCACAGAGGUUUUCCGGGGAUGUGUGUUAGAGAUCUUCGGGAUUGAGUUUCCGAUUGAUCUGAUUCCUAUUGCGAUGGGUGAUGUUUGUGUCAUUGUGGGCAUGGACUGGUUGAGCCGAUUCGGCGCGAUUAUCGACUGUGAGCGUCAGCUGGUGACUAUACGAGACCCUAGUGGGGGAGUUCUUUCGGUGUACGGUGAGGGUACACGUUCGGGAUCAGCCUUUUGUUCGGCCGCCAGGGCGAGGCAGUGUCUACAGCAGGGCUGUAAGGGUUUUGUGGCGUAUGUGAUGGAUACGCGAGCGACUUCCGAGAGACCGAGUUCAGUUGGGGAGGUACCGGUGGUAUGUGAGUUUCCAGAUGUCUUUCCCGAGGAGCUGCCGGGAGUACCUCCUGUGAGGCAAGUAGAGUUUGGUAUUGAUUUGGUUCCGGGGGCUGCGCCUAUAGCUAAGGUGCCUUAUCGUCUUGCACCUCCAGAGAUGCAAGAGUUAUCCUCGCAGCUUCAGGAGUUGCUGGGGAAGGGAUUUAUUCGGCCGAGCAGCUCGCCGUGGGGAGCACCUAUUCUGUUUGUCAAGAAGAAGGAUGGUUCACACCGGAUGUGUAUUGAUUACCGGGAGUUGAACAAGCUGACGGUCAAGAACCGUUACCCGUUGCCGAGGAUCGACGAUUUAUUUGAUCAGUUGCAGGGAGCAUCUUGGUUUUCCAAGAUCGAUUUGAGGUCGGGAUAUCAUCAGGUGAGGGUGCGAGAUGAGGACGUCCAGAAGACAGCUUUCAGGACGCGUUAUGGGCAUUAUGAGUUUGUGGUGAUGCCUUUUGGGCUCACCAAUGCCCCGGCGGUGUUCAUGGAUCUCAUGAACAGGGUAUGUAGGCCGAUGUUGGAUCGGUCGGUGAUUGUAUUUAUCGAUGAUAUUCUGGUGUAUUCGAGAUCUAGGGAGCAGCAUGAGGAACAUUUGAGGGAGGUCCUUGGGGUACUGAGAUCGGAGAAGCUUUAUGCAAAGUUCUCCAAGUGUGAUUUCUGGUUACGGGAGGUCCAGUUCCUAGGACAUCUCGUUAACCAGGAAGGGAUUCUGGUCGAUCCGGCCAAGGUUGAGGCGGUGAUGGGUUGGGAGGUGCCAAAGUCACCCUCUGAGAUCAGGAGCUUCCUUGGAUUAGCAGGGUAUUAUCGGAGAUUUAUCAAGGAUUUCUCCAAGAUCGCAGUGCCGCUCACCAGGUUGACCCGGAAGGGUGUUGCAUUCUCAUGGGGUCCCGAGCAGCAGACCUCCUUUGAGACACUUCGCCAGAGGUUGUGCGAAGCCCCGGUAUUAGCUCUCCCGGAAGGGAUGGAGGAUUUUGUAGUAUAUUGUGAUGCAUCGAUUUUGGGGUUGGGUGCGGUGUUGAUGCAGAGGGGUCAUGUGAUAGCAUAUGCAUCGAGGCAGCUGAAGCCUCAUGAGACAAGAUAUCCCACGCAUGAUCUAGAGUUGGGGGCAGUAGUGUUCGCCCUCAAGAUUUGGCGCCACUACUUAUAUGGGGUUCGAUGUACGAUAUACACGGACCAUAAGAGCUUGAAGUACUUGAUGGAUCAGCCCAAUCUAAACAUGCGUCAGAGGAGGUGGUUAGAUGUGGUCAAGGAUUAUGAUUGUGAGAUCCUGUACCACCCGGGCAAGGCCAACGUGGUGGCCGAUGCGUUGAGCCGCAGGGCGGAGAGCACUCCAUUGCGAGAUGUAUGUUUGAGAUUGACCAUGAUAGCUCCGGUAUUGGAUGCCAUUCGUGGGGCACAGGCCGAGGCUGUGCAGCCGGAGAUGCAGAAGAGGGAACGGGUCGUUGGUUUGGUUUCAGAAUUCGUUACGGAUGGGCGAGGGCUUAUGACUUUUCAGGGUCGGAUUUGGGUACCGUUCGUGGGUGGUACGCGCACUUCCUUGAUGGAGGAGGCUCAUCGGUCGAAAUUUUCGAUCCAUCCGGGGGCUACGAAGAUGUAUUUGGAUUUGAGGAGAGAGUAUUGGUGGCCCUGUAUGAAGAGGGACGUCGCAUGGUUCGUUGAGAGGUGCUUGACCUGUCGUAGGGUUAAGGCCGAGCACCAGAGACCACAUGGCAAGUUGCAGCCAUUGGAGGUUCCCGAAUGGAAAUGGGAACAGAUCACUAUGGAUUUCAUCACCAAAUUGCCGAGAACUGCCAGGGGAGUUGAUGCAAUUUGGGUGAUUGUGGAUAGGUUGACGAAGAGCGCUCACUUCCUUGCCAUCAGUGAGAGUUCUUCAGCAGAGAAGUUGGCAGAGUUAUAUGUGAGAGAAGUGGUAUCUCGGCAUGGGGUGCCGAUCUCGAUUGUUUCAGACCGUGAUGUGCGCUUUACUUCCAGAUUCUGGAAGAAAUUUCAUGAGGAGUUGGGUACUAGAUUGCAUUUUAGUACCGCAUAUCAUCCCCAGACAGACGGUCAGAGUGAGCGGACGAUUCAGACGCUUGAGGACAUGCUUCGAGCAUGUGUGUUGGAUUUUGGGGGUAGCUGGGAUGCGUAUUUACCCUUGGCAGAGUUUUCCUACAACAACAGCCAUCAUUCGAGCAUUGGUAUGCCACCCUUUGAGCUGUUGUAUGGUAGGAGGUGUCGGACCCCCAUUUGUUGGGGAGAGGUUGGGCAGAGAGUGAUGGGCAGUACAGAGAUCGUGCUUCAGACGACAGAGCAGAUUCAGCAGGUCAGACAGAGGUUAUUGACCACCCAGAGCCGACAGAAGAGUUAUGCAGACAGACGCCGGUCCGAGCUUGAGUUUCAGGUCGGCGACUUCGUUCUCCUGAAGGUCUCUCCUUGGAAAGGAGUGAUUCGAUUCAGGAAGAGGGGCAAGUUGGGGCCCCGGUAUAUUGGGCCAUUUCGUGUGAUUGCAAGGAUAGGUCGGGUAGCCUAUCGGUUGGAGUUGCCAGCGGAGUUGGGACAGAUCCACGACACUUUUCAUGUGUCGCAAUUGAGGAAGUGCAUAGCCGAUGAGUCGGCAGUGGUUCCAUUAGAGGAUAUUCAGGUGGAUGCGAGUCUGAAUUAUGCCGAGAGACCAGUAGCCAUCAGAGAUCGAAAGAUCAAGGUUCUGAGGAACAAGGAGGUACCUCUUGUGUUGGUUCAGUGGCAACACCGGAAGGGAUCAAAGAUGACCUAGGAGCCGGAGCGUGAGAUGCAAGAGCAGCAUCCGGAGCAUUUUUCGGAGCGAGACUUCGAGGGAGAAGUCUAGUUCUAGUGGGGGAGAGUUGUAACAGCCCGGAUUUUCAGGUAUUUUAUUGUUUUGGUUUUUUUUGGUGUUUUGAAAGGGGACUCGGCGAGUUGGAGCUCAGACUCGCCGAGUAGGGUCGCGAUUCUGGACGCGGGAUUCGUCUGGACUCGGCGAGUCCAGGAUAUGGACUCGGCGAGUCCGCGCUGUUUAAUGAAACCCUAAUUUCUCGGGUUUGGGACCUAUUUAAAGGGCCUUAUGGCCGUCAUUUGUACCCAACAGUCCAUAGAGAGAAACCCUAGAGUGCUUUAGCGAUUUGAGAGAGAAAGGAAGCAUUUCUUGACAUUUGUGUGUUGUUUAGCAAAGAAGAGGGAGGUUCUAGCCAAGAGGAGGCAAAGGAGACUGCUAUUCGGUGGAUUUGAAGCUUAGCCCUUCAAUCUAAAGGUAUGAUUUCGGCUCAUCUCCUGUUUUGUGAAGUAUAAUUGAUUUUAGGGUUUCUUGUGACCUUGUUGAGUUGAUUGGAUGGCCAAAUAGUCCCUUGCUAGUGAUGAGACUUCGGAUCUGGAUCCAUAGAGGUCCAGAGAGCCUCAUUCAUCAAGCUUUAUAGAGAACAAUGGAGGUUAUGACCUUGAGUAGUGAGAUUUGUUGAUAAUUCUUCAUAUAUGGUCAUAUAGAGGUUGUUUAUGCACCAAGUCUGGGGCUUUACGUGGUGAAUCAGUCUAGGAGGGCCAGAUCUAUGAAUUGUUGGAGUAGAUCUGACCUUAGAAGCAAGUUUGAGUGAUUGCAUGGCAUGGACUCGCCGAGUCCGAUGAGCAGACUCGGCGAGUAGCUUGAAGAUUGCCUUGGACCGGCCAGUCAGUGGUCCAGUCGAGUCAUGGGUUGACUCAGUGAGUCAAGGUGAGUUAGAGAGGGUUGUCAGUGGGCUGAGUCGAGCUGGGACUCGCCGAGUCGUUUUUGAGACUCGGCGAGUUGAGUCGGGGUGGCCCCACGAUUUCUGCAAGGUGAAACUCGUCGAGUCGGGGGGGGAGUACUCGACGUUUAGAUAGGGAAUCCUAGAGAGUUGGUGAGAACGUCUAGACUCGCCGAGUUGCCGUGUGCACUCGCCGAGUCCGGUCAAAGUUGACCGUUGACCGUUGACCUGUGUUGACUUCUUAGGGAUAGUCAACCUUAGAGAUAAAAAGUGUUAAUUAGAGUCAUGUGAUGUUAUAGGAGAAUUAGAGCUCGGAGGAUCGAGCGCGAGGGAUUUCCAGGAUUCGUGAGAUACCGAGACACGCGAGGUGAGUCUUCUCAUUAUACUUUACCUUGAUUAGGUAAUCAGAGCUAUGUGUCAGUGUAUGUAUGUUAUGUGUAUGCUAUGUGUUGUACUGCAUUAUUUCUAUGAGAUUUAUGUUGUGCAUGACUACAGAGUUGGAACCGGAAGGUUCCUAGAGUUAGAACCUGAGGGUUCACAGAGUUGGGUGUACGGACCCAUAGAGUUAUAGCCUUGGGUGGCUAAUAUGUGUUUUAUGUGUGGUAUUUUGGGGAAUUCACUAAGCUUCAUGCUUACAGUGUUAGUGUUGUUGUUUCAGGUACUAGCGAUGACCGUGGGAAGGCGCCGACUUGAUCUGUACACACGCAGGGGACUUUUGAUACAUUUAUAUGAUCUUGGGAUUUGUAUG